rnacentral:rRNA from 1 species
GCUGUGAUGACCGAUUCGAAUGCUGGACUAGUGAGCGUGAGCUGCGUUGCACUGUGAGUAGAUUAAUCCCUGGCUCGGUGAGUCAUCACGUGAGUAACCUGCCCUGUGAGCUCUGUGAUACGCCCGGAACUGGGUCUAAUCACCGAUAUGACCAGUCACCGCAUGUGUGCUGGUGGAAGCUUACGUUUUCGGAUGGACUCGCGGCUAUCAGCUAGACGUGAGUAAUGGCUCACCGUGGCGAUGACGGUAGCCCGCCCUGAGAGGUGACCGGCACACUGGGACUGAGACACGGCCCAGACUCCUACGGGAGGCAGCAGUGGGGAUAUUGCACAAUGGGCCAAAGUUGAUGCAGCAACGCCGCUGUUGGAUGACGGCCUUCGGUUGGAAACACUUCAGCAGGAAGAAGCUUUUGGACGUACUGCAAGAAGAAGCCCCGCUAACUAAGUGCAGCAGCCCCGUAAUACUCAGGCCACGUUAUCCGAUUUUUGGCUUAAGUUUCUAGGCGUUGUCACUUUUGCUGGAAAGCCCAGUUUACCCGGUUGUAGUUGUACUGCAAAUCUAGUCUGUACCGAGCUUGAUACCUGGAUUCGGAGAUCUUCAUAUACCGGGGCCCUUUGAGCGGGCUUUGCUUUCUCGCAUGGCGACGUUGGGCACAGUAUACCUGUUCUCCAAUUUGCUGUUGUGAUAUCCUUCCCAUGUUACUUAGCCUGGGUGCUACGAUCUAUGUA